AGGGGCGUGGCGCAACUGGCAGCGCAGCGGCCUCCAAAACCGCCGGUUGCAGGUUCGAGUCCUGCCGCCCCUG
rnacentral:tRNA from 1 species